AGGACAUUAACCAUUAACAUGAUCGUAUAUUUUAUUGCAUGUUUAGGAGAGACAAAAGCGAAUACAGAAAUGCGCAUCAGGGAAUCGACGCCGCAUGCAAUGUAUGAAUCUAUUGCGGCCGGCAAUCGAGGAAAUCAAGAAUACGAAAUUAUUAAGACGUCAGGAAUAUAACUCAUAAUUAGACGGUAAAAUCUAAUUUUCGUGAAUACACAGUAACGUUUACUCUACAUAAUUUGUGUAAUCAAUGCUAAACCUAAGUAACAUAUGUCUCAAACACUUGUACACCAACUUUCUGAUGUUUUAACGAGUGCGGACACAUUGAUAAAAUAGUUCAAGAACCAACACCUUCCACGCCAAGAAUGCUGAUGGAAUGUUGCAAUUUGGGUAAUUUUUUAUCAUUUUGUUGUACAUGUAUUAUGCCGUUUGAAAGUCAUGUAAAUAUGUCGAUGACGAUGUUCGAAUGAUGAAUGUUGCACAUAAUUAUGACCAUUGCAACCAUAAAAGAUGCGCACUGCUAUUAUUCUAUGGAUUGUUGCUUUUCUUGCUUAAAAUGAAAUAGAUUAAAAUAAUUAAAUAAAGGUUUUUAAAUGAUAUAUUCUAGUUAUCUUUAAAACUUGUUUUAAAACAUCAAUUAAAUAUCGUUAUAUUUUAAUCAUGCAUACUUUAUACUCAUAUUGCAUGCACAUUUACUAACGAAAACAUGUGUUUGUGUCUAUUUAAAGGUAGUUAUGUUCGAAAUCAUAUGCUAUCAUAUUUUAUGCUAUAGAUAAUCUUUUAAGGCAUAUUGUUGUUGUAUAUGUUUGUUUAGAACGACGAGCUAAUUAUUCUGAAGUCAACAUAGACAAUUGAAUUCUAAAAAUACAUACACAUAAUGAUAAACAUGUACUGGAACAUAACAAUUUUGGCUUGCAAAAGGUUCUCAGCGUCAUGUUUACAUUUUUAUUUUACAUGUGUAGCAUAAAUAAUUUCCUAACACCAUUAAGAUUAUUGUAAACGAUUCUAACGGUUGAUUUGAUUGCAAUAUGAAAUAUUCGUAUUGUCUAAAAUGUUAUGUCGAAGGUAUAAUCCAUUUGUACAUAGCACCAUCUCAGUUAAGAUAUCUUGACAACGUGAUAAACAUCUUCAGAAGCUA